UACAGAGGGGGCAAGCGUUGUUCGGAAUUACUGGGCGUAAAGCGUGCGCAGGCGGUCUGUUAAGACCGAUGUGAAAUCCCCGGGCUUAACCUGGGAACUGCAUUGGUGACUGGCAGGCUUUGAGUGUGGCAGAGGGAGGUAGAAUUCCACGUGUAGCAGUAAAAUGCGUAGAGAUGUGGAGGAAUACCGAUGGCGAAGGCAGCCUCCUGGGCCAACACUGACGCUCAUGCACGAAAGCGUGGGGAGCAAACAGG
rnacentral:rRNA from 1 species